AUUUAUGGUCCUAAUACCCUGAAUAUGCCUGAUCUGUCUGAGCUUGGAAGCUAAGCAGGGUUGGGCCUGGUUAGUACUUGGAUGGGAGAACGAGGACCACACAAGAGGAGGGAAAAAUAGAAGCCAUAACAG
rnacentral:rRNA from 1 species